UUUGUUGUGUGCAGUGAUUUCAUUGAGGAGUGGGUCAAAAUUGGUUUACCUGCAAAGGCAAAGGUGAAGGCAAAGCAUGGAGAUGCACCUUUUGGAGAGCUAUGCACACACUGUGAGAAGGUAUGAGAGAAGAGUACAAACCAAUUCACAAGCAAUAAACUUAUGUCAACAACACACUCUUUUAUCGGUUGAAAUCCAUAUGAACUUCACAAAAUUUAUGUGGAACUACAUAAUUUAACAUAAUCCAUUUGAAUUUCAACUAUCAGAAGAGUGUGUGUUGGAAAGAUUACGUUGCUAGCACUUCUCGAAUGUUAAAAUCCAGAUUAGUGCGAAUAUCAACAAAUUUUGUACACUCUUUCGAACACUCUUUAUUUUUUAUAAAAGUAAAUGCUCAAAAGCGAUCUCUAACAUUUUCUUUCAAACACUAUAUUAUUAGUCUAAUUUCAUAUAGGACUCAUCAGAUAUGAAUUUCAACAAAUAGUCGAGUGUUAGAGAAUAUGUUGCAGACAGUGAUGAUAUAAAAUGAUCGGCAAGAAACAUUUUUUAGUGAAUCUUACAAGUUAAAAUUUGAAUUAUGUGCAGGAAGCUGUGAAUGUUUCUCUUGGAAACCUUCUAACCUACCCAUUUGUGAGAGAGGGAUUGGUGAACAAAACAUUGGCACUAAAAGGAGGAUACUAUGACUUUGUGAAAGGAUCUUUUGAGCUUUGGGGACUUGAAUUUGGCCUUUCUUCAACUUUCUCCGUAUGAACAUCAACCAUAUAUCAAUGACCACAUCUUGAUUACCUAAGUAUUCUCCUCUCUAAAAUGUACUAUAUGUAAUUACCCUUGUUAAUUAAUUAUAAGCUAAAUUCCAAAAUAAAUAAAUGUAGAUGGAAAUUAUAUAUUCUCCAUCAAUCAUUUUUACAUAGCUCCAAAUUAUAUUAUAAUAAUGUUACUUUUGUUGCAUAUAUAAGUAAAUAAACAAGUUAAGAGCAAAGUGUAAUUUAUGGUGUUUCACUUUCACCACUAAAUUUUUGUUGUUUGUUAGGUAA
rnacentral:lncRNA from 1 species